GAAUACCAUCGGAGCUCCUCUGGAACAUGUCCUUGUCUUCUCAGAGUGUGAAGUGUGUGUGUGACAGUGCUUUUCUGAGGACUCAGGUGACCUGGAGGCUGGAGAACAGCAUGGAGCAAGGAAAACAAAGACGAUGUGCUGGAGUGUAUGUUGCUUUCAUAAUUAUGUGAAAGAAAAUGUAGAGAAAUUUGAAAGGAGAACUGGUUAUCAGUAGUGCCAUCCUGCUCAAAUAUCUUCAAAUACACACCACCAUCCAUGUGUGGGUUGAUUAAGGAGCUGACGUUCAUUAGAUCUGCAGUCUCCUGACCUGAUGUGCAUCAGAAUCACUGGGAGAACAAACAAACAAAAAUGAAUCCAAAACAAGCAACGAACAGACAGAUUCUCAAGUCUUGCCAAGUCCAAAGAUUGAUUUGGUGGAGAAAUUGUACUUUGAAAGCUGCCCAG
rnacentral:lncRNA from 1 species